GAUGAACGCUGGCGGCGUGCCUAAUACAUGCAAGUCGAGCGAACAGAUGAGGAGCUUGCUCCUCUGACGUUAGCGGCGGACGGGUGAGUAACACGUGGAUAACCUACCUAUAAGACUGGGAUAACUUCGGGAAACCGGAGCUAAUACCGGAUAAUAUAUUGAACCGCAUGGUUCAAUAGUGAAAGACGGUUUUGCUGUCACUUAUAGAUGGAUCCGCGCCGCAUUAGCUAGUUGGUAAGGUAACGGCUUACCAAGGCAACGAUGCGUAGCCGACCUGAGAGGUUGAUCGGCCACACUGGAACUGAGACACGGUCCAGACUCCUACGGGAGGCAGCAGUAGGGAAUCUUCCGAAAUGGGCGAAAGCCUGACGGAGCAACGCCGCGUGAGUGAUGAAGGUCUUCGGAUCGUAAAACUCUGUUAUUAGGGAAGAACAAAUGUGUAAGUAACUAUGCACGUCUUGACGGUACCUAAUCAGAAAGCCACGGCGAACUACGU
rnacentral:rRNA from 1 species